rnacentral:tRNA from 1 species
GGGAUUAUAGCUCAGUAGAGCACGUGCUUGGCGUGCGUGCACAAGGUCCUGGGUUCAAUCCCCAGUGCCUCUG